CGCAGUUUUAGUCAUAAACCUUCGUUUUUUAUAGAUCAAAAGCUCCAUCCUUUUUAUUUUUCAAAGUUACAGUUUAGUCAUCUUCAAGCUUGGCUAUGAAUCAAUAUAAAACUCUAUAGGUUACACUAUGUCUAAUACAGUUACUGGUACAGUAAAAUGGUUUAACGAAACUAAAGGUUUCGGUUUCAUUCAACAAGACAACGGUCCAGAUGUUUUCGCUCACUUCAGCGAAAUCCAAGGUUCAGGUUUCAAAACUUUAGCUGAAGGCCAAAAGGUUUCUUUCAGCGUUGCUCAAGGUCAAAAAGGCCCUACAGCGACUAACAUCACUGCAAUCUAAUUUGUUGCAUUGACGCUAGAUAAAAAAGCACUCUGUUGAGUGCUUUUUUUGU
rnacentral:sRNA from 1 species